rnacentral:tRNA from 3 species
GUCUUUGUAUUCUAGCGGUUAUGAUUUUUCCUUCACACGUGUCUUUCACGUGACAAAGUGGAGCGGAAGAGGUCCGCGGUUCGAACCCGCGCGAAGACA